AACGAACGCUGGCGGCAGGCCUAACACAUGCAGGUCGAACGCCCUAGCAAUAGGGAGUGGCAGACGGGUGAGUAACACGUGGGAACCUUCCCUAUAGUACGGAAUAGCCCAGGGAAACUUGGAGUAAUACCGUAUACGCCCGAGAGGGGAAAGAUUUAUCGCUAUAGGAUGGGCCCGCGUCGGAUUAGCUAGUUGGUGAGGUAAUGGCUCACCAAGGCAACGAUCCGUAGCUGUUUGGAGAGAAUGACCAGCCACACGGGGACUGAGACACGGCCCAGACUCCUACGGGAGGCAGCAGUGGGGAACCUUGGACAAUGGGGGCAAGCCUGAUCCAGCCUUGCCGCGUGAGUGAUGAAGGCCUAGGGUUGUAAAGCUCUUUUGUCGGGGACGAUAAUGACGGUACCCGAAGAAUAAGCUCCGGCUAACUUCGUGCCAGCCGCCGCCGUAA
rnacentral:rRNA from 1 species